rnacentral:rRNA from 1 species
GAUGAACGCUAGCUACAGGCUUAACACAUGCAAGUCGAGGGGAAACGGCAUUAAGUGCUUGCACUUUUUGGACGUCGACCGGCGCACGGGUGAGUAACGCGUAUCCAACCUGCCCCUUACCAGGGAAUAACCCGUUGAAAGACGGACUAAUGCCCUAUGCAGUCCUUUGACGGCAUCAGAUUAGGACUAAAGAUUUAUCGGUAUGGGAUGGGGAUGCGUCUGAUUAGCUUGUUGGCGGGGUAACGGCCCACCAAGGCAUCGAUCAGUAGGGGUUCUGAGAGGAAGGUCCCCCACAUAGGAACUGAGACACGGUCCUAACUCCUACGGGAGGCAGCAGUGAGGAAUAUUGGUCAAUGGGCGCUAGCCUGAACCAGCCAAUUAGCGUGCAGGAUGACGGCCCUAUGGGUUGUAAACUGCUUUUAUGCGGGGAUAAAGUCACCCACGUGUGGGUGUUUGCAGGUACCGCAUGAAUAAGGACCGGCUAAUUCCGUGCCAGCCGCCGCGGUAAAAGGG